AACGAACGCUGGCGGCAGGCCUAACACAUGCAAGUCGAGCGCCCUUUCGGGGGAGCGGCGGCCGGGUGAGUAACGCGUGGGAAUAUGCCCUUCUCUACGGAAUAGCCUCGGGAAACUGAGAGUACUACCGUAUACGCCCUUUGGUGGCACGUUUUAUCGGGGAAGGAUUAGCCCGCGUUGGAUUAGGUCGUUGGUGGGGUAAUGGCCUACCAAGCCGACGAUUCAUAGCUGGUUUGAGAGGAUGAUCAGCCACACUGGGACUGAGACACGGCCCAGACUCCUACGGGAGGGAGCAGUGGGGAAUCAGAGACAAUGGGGGCAACACGGAGGUAGCCAUGCCGCGUGAGUGAUGAAGGACGUAGGGUUGUAAAGCUCAUUCAGAUGGGAAGAUAAUGACGGUACCAGAAGAAGAAGCCACGGCUAACUCCGUG
rnacentral:rRNA from 1 species